CCGUAUUCCCAAUCCUGACACAGGGAGGUAGUGACAAGAAAUAACAAUACAGGGCUUAAAGUCUUGUAAUUGGAAUGAUGGGAAUCUAAACCCUUCCCAGAGUAUCAAUUGGAGGGCAAGUCUGGUGCCAGCAGCCGCGGUAAUUCCAGCUCCAAUAGCGUAUAUUAAAGUUGUUGCAGUUAAGAAGCUCGUAGUUGAAUUUCUGCCUUGUCAUUAAUCUCGCUUCCGAGCGUUUUUUUAUUGGCUUGGCAUCUUCUGGAUUUGGUGCCUUCGGGUACUAUUUUCCAGGAUUUACUUUGAGAAAACUAGAGUGUUUCAAACAGGCAUUCGCCUUGAAUACUACAGCAUGGAAUAAUGAAGUAGGACUUUGGUUCUAUUUUGUUGGUUAUUGAGCCAGAGUAAUGGUUAAUAGGAGCAGUUGGGGGCAUUCGUAUUUAAA
rnacentral:rRNA from 1 species